GAUGAACGCUGGCGGCGUGCCUAAUACAUGCAAGUCGAGCGAACAGACGAGGAGCUUGCUCCUCUGACGUUAGCGGCGGACGGGUGAGUAACACGUGGAUAACCUACCUAUAAGACUGGGAUAACUUCGGGAAACCGGAGCUAAUACCGGAUAACAUAUUGAACCGCAUGGUUCAACAGUGAAAGACGGUCUUGCUGUCACUUAUAGAUGGAUCCGCGCCGCAUUAGCUAGUUGGUAAGGUAACGGCUUACCAAGGCAACGAUGCGUAGCCGACCUGAAAGGGUGGUCGGCCACCCUGGAACUGAGACACGGUCCAGACUCCUACGGGAGGCAGCAGUAGGGACUCCUCCGCAAUGGGGGAAAGCCUGACGGAGCAACGCCGCGUGAGUGAAGAAGGUCUUCGGAUCGUAAAACUCUGUUAUUAGGGAAGAACAAAUGUGUAAGUAACUAUGCACGUCUUGACGGUACCUAAUCAGAAAGCCACGGCUAACUACGUG
rnacentral:rRNA from 1 species